rnacentral:misc_RNA from 1 species
UUUGAAGUAUUUUUGACAAUAGGUUUUGCGACGGAAGCAGAAGUAUUGCUGCUAUAAUCAUCUAUAGGUGGAGGCAACAUACUCCCUGAACGCCGCAGCAUAUUGUUUGUUGCACCAGUAAUUUGUUGAACUCUACUCCUGGUGUAUGCUGAUAUUAUCUCAUCCUUUGUAAAACUGUCUUCUUGAGAACCUAUCUCAUGCAAGUAUAGACAAUCUGGAUUGGU